rnacentral:rRNA from 1 species
GAUGAACGCUGGCGGCGUGCCUAAUACAUGCAAGUCGAGCGAACGGACGAGAAGCUUGCUUCUCUGAUGUUAGCGGCGGACGGGUGAGUAACACGUGGAUAACCUACCUAUAAGACUGGGAUAACUUCGGGAAACCGUAGCUAAUACCGGAUAAUAUUUUGAACCGCAUGGUUCAAAAGUGAAAGACGGUCUUGCUGUCGCGUAUAGAUGGAUCCGCGCUGCAUUAGCUAGGUGGUAAGGUAACGGCUUAGCAAGGCAACGAUGCAUAGCCGACCUGAGAGGGUGAUAGGCCACAUUGGAACGGAGACACGGUCCAGACUCCUACGGGAGGCAGCAGUAGGGAAUCUUACGCAAUGGGCGAAAGCCUGACGGAGCAACGCCGCGUGAGUGAUGAAGGUCUUCGGAUCGUAAAACUCUGUUAUUAGGGAAGAACAUAUGUGUAAGUAACUGUGCACAUCUUGACGGUACCUACUCAGAAAGCCACGGCUAACUACGUG